UCCUCCGCUUAUUGAUAUGCUUAAGUUCAGCGGGUAUCCCUACCUGAUCCGAGGUCAAGAGUGUAAAAAUGUACUUUUGGACGUCGUCGUUAUGAGUGCAAAGCGCGAGAUGUACUGCGCUCCGAAAUCAAUACGCCGGCUGCCAAUUGUUUUAAGGCGAGUCUACACGCAAAGGCGAGACAAACACCCAACACCAAGCAAAGCUUGAAGGUACAAAUGACGCUCGAACAGGCAUGCCCCAUGGAAUACCAAGGGGCGCAAUGUGCGUUCAAAGAUUCGAUGAUUCACUGAAUUCUGCAAUUCACACUACUUAUCGCAUUUCGCUGCGUUCUUCAUCGAUGCCAGAACCAAGAGAUCCGUUGUUGAAAGUUUUAAUUUUUAUAUGUUUUUUCAGACUAUACAGGUUAUACAAGUUUUUUUUUUUUGUCCAUCGGCAGGCGGACCUGCCGAGGAAACGGACGGUACUAAUAAAGGCAAGGGUUCUAUCUCGACAGGGCCGAAGCCCUACGAUAAUGAUCCUUCCGCAGGUYCACCUACGGA
rnacentral:misc_RNA from 1 species